UACGUAGGGUGCGAGCGUUGUCCGGAUUUAUCGUGGCGUAAAGAGCGCGCAGGCGGUCGUUCAAGUCGCGUGUGAAAGCCCCCGGCUCAACUGGGGAGGGUCACGCGAUACUGAUCGACUCGAAGGCAGGAGAGGGAAGUGGAAUUCCCGGUGUCAGUGGUGAAAUGCGUAGAUAUCGGGAGGAACACCAGUGGCGAAGGCGGGUCUCUGGGCCGUAACUGACGCUGAGGAGCGAAAGCGUGGGGAGCGAACAGG
rnacentral:rRNA from 1 species